rnacentral:rRNA from 1 species
CCUACGGGUGGCAGCAGUGGGGAAUUUUCCGCAAUGGGCGAAAGCCUGACGGAGCAAUACCGCGUGUGGGAGGAAGGCCCUUGGGUUGUAAACCACUUUUAUCAGGGAAGAAGAUCUGACGGUACCUGAUGAAGAAGCAUCGGCUAACUCCGUGCCAGCAGCCGCGGUAAUACGGAGGAUGCAAGCGUUAUCCGGAAUCAUUGGGCGUAAAGCGUCCGUAGGUGGUUUGUCAAGUCUGUCGUCAAAGAAUGGAGCUUAACUCCAUAGAGGCGGUGGAAACUGAGAGACUAGAGUAUGGUAGGGGUAGUGGGAAUUCCCAGUGUAGCGGUGAAAUGCGUAGAUAUUGGGAAGAACAUCGGUGGCGAAAGCGCACUACUGGGCCAAAACUGACACUGAGGGACGAAAGCUAGGGUAGCGAAAGGGAUUAGAUACCCUUGUAGUC